AGCAAGAUUUAUGUGUCAGUGUUUUCAAAUAAUCUGACUUUCACCACUGUUUUUUUUUUUUCCAACCCAGGUCUGGCAAGGAAAAGGAUUGUGAAUGUGAAGGGGAGCUGUUGGUAUUGUGCCAUUGUAGCAAGAAUAUCCAACCACUUGGAUACAGUCAACUGUUACAGCAACACCAAGAAAACCGAAGCAGGAGAAGGGUGGAGCAAUUACCAUCCAAAAGGUGAGGAAGAAAGUGGGACCUAGAGCCGCUUCCUGUGCAGUGAUCCUCAGCUGUGGUAGAAGAGUCACAUGCCAUUCGAAAUAUCCAGGUGAGUCAUGAAAACAACUUCGCACGAAAGUCUAAGAACCAUA
rnacentral:lncRNA from 1 species